UACGGAGGGUGCAAGCGUUGUCCGGAUUUAUUGGGUUUAAAGGGUGCGUAGGCGGCCCGUUAAGUCAGUGGUGAAAGCCUCCAGCUCAACUGGAGAACUGCCAUUGAUACUGACGGGCUUGAGUACAGACGAGGUUGGCGGAAUUGAUUGUGUAGCGGUGAAAUGCAUAGAUACAAUCAAGAACUUCGAUUGCGUAGGCAGCUAACUAGGCUGUAACUGACGCUGAGGCACGAAAGCGUGGGGAGCGAACAGG
rnacentral:rRNA from 1 species